CCCCCUUAACCACAGCAUUUACCAUGAUCUGGGCAUACUCAGCCAUGAACAUCCCGGUCAUCAUAAAGUCAGUCCUACAUGGCUUGCUUACGAAGCACAUCAGCUACUUCAUCACGGAUGCUCCAUUUGGCAUUUAUGGGGACAGUUGGGUGGUCCCCUUCUCUUACAGUGCCUUUUAUCCAGUCCACCAGGCUGGCCGUUCCCUCAGGAAUAAUCUGUGCGUCUGGAUCACACACACCAUCUGCCAUUGUUCAGCAGUGAGCUGUGGGUCCCGCUUCAGCCCACACGUGCUCUUCCACUCUGCUGCACUUGUGACCAACAGAAGGGUGAGGCUGCUCACCGCUUGUAGAAAGACGCCAAAAUAAUAACGAGGUGUGAUAGAAGAGAGUGAGACUUUCCUAUCCGUGCCAGCAAAUGGACAAGCACAAAACAAUUCCACUCUUCCGUUUGUGGAGGGAACGCAGGAGGUUUUAAAGAGAGGGUUUGGAAUGCAGAAGAGGCAGGGGGUGAGGAGGUGCCCGGUGGCAGGACCCAGUCCCAUGGCUCGUCUCGAAUUAUUGUUCCAUCUGGUGAAGGGGCUGGCACCAUUGUGGCUGGAAGUGUCUGGUCCAUACCAGGAUCCAGUCCCUGAAACUUCUAAGAAAAUAUAUCACCAGAUAAGUGAGCAUGGUGUGAGCUCAACAAGCAUCCAGGUAAAUAAGUGUGUGUAAGGCAUGAGAGCAUGGAAUAGAAAAAGAAAGGGAGGGGAGGCCACAGCACAUCCCCAGGCUGUGUUUCAAGAUGAAAGAAACACGUAUGUAGCUUGACUCAAAGUUAUAUCUUGAGAUUGGGGAGAAAGGAGAAAAAACAAAGUUUUAAAACAUGAUUUGAAGCCAAGCUGCUCAGUUACACAUUUAAAACCAAAAACACUGUUCCCAAAUUAGUUGUUCUCAUAAUUCGUUUUGGUAGAAGUUCCUCAGGAAGCGAAUCUACAGAACGAAGCAAUUCCACCACAUCACGCCCUCUAGCUUCAAUACUACUUAAUUUUGCCCCUUACUACCUUCUUGGUAACCACAGGUCUCAAGGGUGCUUUCUUUCAUCCCUGGCAUUAUUUUCCCCUUUGUAGGUUAUUUUGAGGCUAGUGGCCUGAGCUCAGACAGACCCACAACCGAGCAUGGUCCAGGCCCAACCCAGCACUCUUAUACUUUCAUUUUAGCUACUGCAGCUAACAGUAACCAAGGGAUUGCAUAUUUUGCUUUUUGCUUAUUAGUCUGCAUCUUCUUACGCAUCCGUUGAACCAACUUCCCAAGGGUUUGUGUCAUCUCUAAUUCUACUGGUAGCUUUCCCGUUUGGCAGCUGAGGACGACACAGCUGCAGCUCCAGAUCAGGGGUGACGCGUGGCCGCUCAGGAAUCAAAGGCUCCUUGUUGCCCAGCCCUUUAUUCUUCCUCUUUCUAUCCGUUUACUCUCAUCCUUGUCAUCUUUCCUUGGUUCUGAAACAACCUCUAAAUAGCUUCCAAACUAGACAAGAGCACUUUUCCUUUAAGCAGAAACCAUAUCUUUAUGAUUUUUGUAACCUUUACCAAAAACACAUCUUACAUUAUGGCCAGGCACGGAGGCUCACGCCUACAAUCCCAGCACUUUAGGAGGUGAGACAGGCAGAUAACUCAAGGUCAGGAGUUUGAGACCAGCCUGGCCAACAUGAUGAAACCCAUCUCUACUAAAAUAUAAAACUUAGCGGGGUGUGGUGGCAGGCGACUGUAAUCCUAGCUACUUAGGAAGCUUAGGCAGGAAAAUCACUUGAACCCGGGAGGCAGAGGUUGCAGUGAAUCCAAAAUUGUGCCAUUGCACUCCAGCCUGGGGGAUAGAACGAGACUGUCUCAAAAAAAAAAACAAAAAAAACAAAAAAAA
ensembl:lncRNA